rnacentral:rRNA from 1 species
AGAGUGAACGCUGGCGGCAGGCCUAAUACAUGCAAGUCGAACGGCAGCACAGCAGAGCUUGCUCUGUGGGUGGCGAGUGGCGGACGGGUGAGGAAUACAUGGGAAUCUGCCCAGUCGUGGGGGAUAACGUAUGGAAACGUACGCUAAUACCGCAUGCGCCCUUCGGGGGAAAGCCGGGGGACCUUCGGGCCU